rnacentral:rRNA from 1 species
AUUGAACGCUGGCGGCAGGCCUAACACAUGCAAGUCGAGCGGAUGAAGGGAGCUUGCUCCUGGUUUCAGCGGCGGACGGGUGAGUAAUGCCUAGGAAUCUGCCUGGUAGUGGGGGAUAACGUCCGGAAACGGGCGCUAAUACCGCAUACGUCCUGAGGGAGAAAGUGGGGGAUCUUCGGACCUCACGCUAUCAGAUGAGCCUAGGUCGGAUUAGCUAGUUGGUGGGGUAAAGGCCUACCAAGGCGACGAUCCGUAACUGGUCUGAGAGGAUGAUCAGUCACCCUGGAACUGAGACACGGUCCAGACUCCUACGGGAGGCAGCAGUGGGGAAUAUUGGACAAUGGGCGAAAGCCUGAUCCAGCCAUGCCGCGUGUGUGAAGAAGGUCUUCGGAUUGUAAAGCACUUUAAGUUGGGAGGAAGGGCAGUAAGUUAAUACCUUGCUGUUUUGACGUUACCAACAGAAUAAGCACCGGCUAACUUCGUG